rnacentral:rRNA from 1 species
GAUGAACGCUAGCUACAGGCUUAACACAUGCAAGUCGCGGGGCAGCAUGGGGGUUGCUUGCAACCCCUGAUGGCGACCGGCGCACGGGUGAGUAACGCGUAUCCAACCUGCCCUUCACCACGGGAUAACCCGGCGAAAGUCGGACUAAUACCGUAUGUUGUCCAUUGACGGCAUCCGAUUUGGGUGAAAGGCUUGGCGGUGGACGGGUGGGGGUGCUUCUGAUUAGUGUGAGUGUGGGGUAACGGCCAACUGUGGUUAUGAUCGGUAGGGGUUCUGAGGGGAAGGUCCCCCACACGGGGACUGAGACACGGUCCAGACUCCUACGGGGGGCAGCAGUGAGGAAUAUUGGUCAAUGGGCGUAAGCCUGAACCAGCCAAGUAGCGUGCAGGAUGACGGCCCUAUGGGUUGUAAACUGCUUUUAUGCGGGGAUAAAGUGGCCCACGUGUGGGCUUUUGCAGGUACCGCAUGAAUAAGGACCGGCUAAUUCCGUG